GACGGAGGAUGCAAGCGUUAUCCGGAAUGAUUGGGCGUAAAGCGUCCGCAGGUGGCAGUUCAAGUCUGCUGUCAAAGACCGGGGCUUAACUUCGGAAAGGCAGUGGAAACUGAACAGCUAGAGUAUGGUAGGGGCAGAGGGAAUUCCUGGUGUAGCGGUGAAAUGCGUAGAGAUCAGGAAGAACAUCGGUGGCGAAGGCGCUCUGCUGGACCAUAACUGACACUCAGGGACGAAAGCCAGGGGAGCGAAUGGG
rnacentral:rRNA from 1 species